UCAACGCUUACUCAGUAGAACCAAGGGAAAACUGAUUUUUCUGUAACAAAAACUAGAUACAGAAAGAAAGUCACGCAUUCAUGUCUCUGGUCCCAGCAAUUCCGUUCUGAAAAUACUUAGCAAAACAUUUUCUGUGGGUUUUUUUUGGUGGUUAUUUUUCCUUUCUUAGGCUGCCUUUGGGAGGAUCCAAAUCAAAUAACUAGUGGGAGGCAUAGUAAAGAGUUUUAAUUUUAGAAAUUUUAGAUAAUACUUUUUUUUUUUUUUUUAUUGGUAAGCAGCAGGAACGACUGGGUUUUGAAAUUUCAGCAGCUGUCGCCGUGGACGACAAGCUUGCUCUGAAGGCAUGUGUAUAGAGCAAAAUGUCCACAAUAGUCAAAUCCAUAGAGACAGAAAGGAGAUUGGCUGUUGUCGAGGGCCGGGGCAGUGAUUGCCGAUGGGUAUGAAGUUUCUUUCUGGGAUGAUGGAAAUGUUCUGGAAUCAGACAGUGCUGAUGGUUGCGUGACCUGGUGGAUAUACUAAAAAUUGUGUACUUUAAAGGAUGACUUGAUGGUCUGUGAAUUAUACCUUAAUAAUAAUAAUAAUAAAAAUCCAGAGAAGGAUCAGCGCAGCAAUGUAUUUUUCAAAAUUCCACAACGGAGAGUCAUUUACUUUGUUGAGAGUUUGGGGUCAAUGCACGAUUUGCUAGCUACGAUGGAAGAAUGGCUGUGGAAACUUGAGUUAACAUAUUUGUGGUUGCCUUCAUGUUGUUUCAGGGCUCCUGCUCUGGCUGGCUGGCUCAAACCACAGUUUACCUUGGGCUGAGUUUAUCUGUAGUAUCAUGUUUCAAGGGACAGGCGGUCAUCACUGGACUUUCCGAUGGGAUUCAUUCUUCUGGUGAGGAGCCCUGGCUAGAAGAAGACGUGGUCCGCGGGGCUCCUGUGUUUCCUGCACCUGUCCAAGUUCGCAUCUGCCCUGGAAAGUUCACCUGGCAGCCUCUAGCUCUGCAGGGAGGGGGUGGGGGUGGGCACGCCCAUCCUGCCCCGGCAUUUUGAACCAGCAUUAUUAUUCAGUCUGUGCCAGGAGGUGGCGGCCUUUAGCAUUUCAAUAGAGUGGAUGGUUUUAUCUCUAUUUUUAGCUUUUUAUUAUGUUAAAAAAAAAAAAAAAACAACUCUUCC
rnacentral:lncRNA from 1 species